rnacentral:rRNA from 1 species
AGUGAACGCUGGCGGUAGGCCUAACACAUGCAAGUCGAACGGCAGCACAGUAAGAGCUUGCUCUUACGGGUGGCGAGUGGCGGACGGGUGAGGAAUACAUCGGAAUCUACUUUUUCGUGGGGGAUAACGUAGGGAAACUUACGCUAAUACCGCAUACGACCUACGGGUGAAAGCAGGGGAUCUUCGGACCUUGCGCGAUUGAAUGAGCCGAUGUCGGAUUAGCUAGUUGGCGGGGUAAAGGCCCACCAAGGCGACGAUCCGUAGCUGGUCUGAGAGGAUGAAUCGGCCAACUUGGACUGGGAAACCGGCCCAACUCCCACGGGGGGGAGCCGGGGGGGAUAUUUGGCAAUGGGCGGAAGCCCUAUCCCGGCCAUCCCGGUGGGGUGAAGAAGGCCUCCGGUUGGUAAAGCCUUUUUUUUGGGAAAAAAAAGCAGCAGGUUAAUACCCCGCUGUUCUACCGUUACCAAAAAAAUAGGCACCGCCUACCUUCUU